CCUACGGGAGGCAGCAGUGGGGAAUAUUGCACAAUGGGCGGGAGCCUGAACCAGCCACGUCGCGUGAAGGAAGAAGGUACUUAGUAUUGUAAACUUCUUUUGUCGGGGAACAAAGGCGGAGACGCGUCUCCGGAUGAGCGUACCCGAAGAACAAGCAUCGGCAAACUCCGUGCCAGCAGCCGCGGUCAUACGGAGGAUGUGAGCGUUAUCCGGAUUUAUUGGGUUUAAAGGGUGCGCAGGCGGGAGAUCAAGGCAGCGGUAAACGGUCGGGGCUCAACCCCGGCCUGCCGUUGAAACUGGUUUUCUAGAGUUGGAGAGAAGUAUGCGGAAUUCGUGGUGUAGCGGUGAAAGGCAUAGAUAUCACGAAGAACUCCGAUUGCGAAGGCAGCAUACCGGCUCCAUACUGACGCUGAGGCACGAAAGCGUGGGGAUCGAACAGGAUUAGAUACCCCGGUAGUC
rnacentral:rRNA from 1 species